CUUUAAUAUAAAAGGCAGCAGGGAGCUGCAACUGCAACUGUGAGAGAGAAAAAGGAAAUAGAGAUAGAGGGCUCAGCUUUUUCCUAGAAAGGGCUGCAAACUAACAACUUCAGGUAGAGCAGACUAAGAGCCAGCUGUGGAUACGGCUAAAGGACCAGAGCUAAUACUAAAACUUGUGUCAUGGGCCAAAAGGCCUGUUCCAUGCAUGAAGCUGCAUCAGUCCAGGAUCAUGUGCAACAGUGGGACUGAAAGCCAUUUUGACAAAAAGUUAAAUGCAUCGGAGACCGCACAGCAUUUUUGUCUUGGUUGUCAUUGUGAAUGGAGCCUGGCAGCAGCAAGAAAUAUUGAAAUCCCUGAUGUAUUUCUGUUGUUUCUUUAAGAGGGACCAUCCCUUCCAGUAAUGAAAAAUCUUCCAAAAAUAGUGCCCUGGGAUGAAACCUCACUCAUCAUAUUUCCCAAAUUUGGCAGUUAUGACAGUUUUAUUCCAGUGUAUUAUUAAAGC